rnacentral:rRNA from 1 species
GACGAACGCUGGCGGCGUGCUUAACACAUGCAAGUCGAACGGAAAGGCCCUGCUUUUGUGGGGUGCUCGAGUGGCGAACGGGUGAGUAACACGUGAGUAACCUGCCCUUGACUUUGGGAUAACUUCAGGAAACUGGGGCUAAUACCGGAUAGGAGCUCCUGCUGCAUGGUGGGGGUUGGAAAGUUUCGGCGGUUGGGGAUGGACUGGCGGCUUAUCAGCUGGUUGGUGGGGUAGUGGCUUACCAAGGCUUUGACGGGUAGCCGGCCUGGGAGGGUGACCGGCCACAUUGGGACUGAGAUACGGCCCAGACUCCUACGGGAGGCAGCAGUGGGGAAUAUUGCACAAUGGGCGGAAGCCUGAUGCAGCAACGCCGCGUGCGGGAUGACGGCCUUCGGGUUGUAAACCGCUUUCGCCUGUGACGAAGCGUGAGUGACGGUAAUGGGUAAAGAAGCACCGGCUAACUACGUG